rnacentral:rRNA from 1 species
UGCGUAGGCGGUUUGGUAAGUUGGACGUGAAAGCCCAUGGCUUAACCAUGGAAUUGCGUCCAAAACUGCCAGGCUAGAGUGUCGGAGAGGAAGAUGGAAUUCCAGGUGUAGGGGUGAAAUCCGUAGAUAUCUGGAAGAACACCAGCGGCGAAGGCGAUCUUCUGGCCGACCACUGACGCUGAGUGCACGAAAGCGUGGGGGAGCGAACA